UAGUAUAUAAUGAAUAAAACAAUUUACUCGUAAAUUCUUUGAGAUAUUAUAAAUUCUGAGCUUUUUAUCACUGAACCAU